rnacentral:rRNA from 1 species
UACCCGCAGCACAAGUGGUGGUCAUUAUUAUUGGGCCUAAAGCGUCCGUAGCUGGCUUGUUAGAUGCCUGGGUAAAUCGAUGCGCUCAACGUAUCGAACUCCGGGUAGACCGGCAAGCUUGGGACCGGGAGAGGCGUGAGCUACUCGAGGGGUAGGGGUAAAAUCCUGUAAUCCUUCGGGGAGGACCAGUGGCGAAGGCGUCACGCUAGAACGGCUCCGACAGUGAGGGACGAAGCCCUGGGGCGCAAACAGG